UCAAGGAAUUAAGAGUUUAUGGGGGAUACCUUGGCAUUCAGAAGCGAUGAAGGACGUGGCUACCGACGAAACGCUUCGGGGAGCUGGAAACAAGCUAAGAUCCGGAGGUGUCCGAAUGAGGCAACUCAAAAACUACUUAUUGAAUACAUAAAUAAGAAAGAGCAAACCUAGGGAAUUGAAACAUCUUAGUACCUAGAGGAAUAGAAAGUAAAAACGAUUCCCUGAGUAGCGGCGAGCGAAACGGGAGAAGCCUAAACUUAAUUUUAAGGGUAGCGGGACAAUUACAAAUGAUUAAAUGUAACAAUUAGACGAAUAGGUUGGAAUCCCUAACCAUAGAAAGUGAUAGUCUUGUAGUCGAAAAUUGAAACAAUCAAAUUGAAUCCCAAGUAGCAUGGGGCACGUGAAAUCCCGUGUGAAUCUGCGAGGACCACCUCGUAAGGCUAAAUAUUCCUGAAUGACCGAUAGUGAAAUAGUACCGUGAGGGAAAGGUGAAAAGAACCCCGGGAGGGGAGUGAAAAGAACAUGAAACCAUAAACUUACAAGCAGUAGGAGGACGACUAAAACGUCUGACUGCGUGCCUGUUGAAGAAUGAGCCGGCGACUUAUAGUUAGUGGCAGGUUAAAGUAGUGAAUACUGAAGCCAUAGUGAAAGCGAGCCUGAAUAGGGCGUUUGUCACUAGUUAUAGACCCGAACCCGGAUGAUCUAACCAUGGUCAGGUUGAAGCUUAGGUAAUACUAAGUGGAGGACCGAACCGACUGAUGUUGAAAAAUCAGCGGAUGAAUUGUGGUUAGGGGUGAAAUGCCAAUCGAAUCCGGAGCUAGCUGGUUCUCCCCGAAAUGCGUUUAGGCGCAGCGGUAAAUGUUAUAAUUUAGGGGUAAAGCACUGUUACGUAUGCGGGCUGGUAAUUCGGUACCAAAUCGUUGCAAACUAAGAAUACUAAAUGUAUAGUUUACCAGUAAGACUGUGGGGGAUAAGCUCCAUUGUCAAGAGGGAAACAGCCCAGAGCACCAGUUAAGGCCCUUAAAUAAUUACUAAGUGGUAAAGGAGGUGGGAGUGCAUAGACAAUCAGGAGGUUUGCUUAGAAGCAGCAAUCCUUUAAAGAGUGCGUAAUAGCUCACUGAUCGAGUAAACCUGCGCCGAAAAUGAACGGGACUAAGUAAUUUGCCGAAACUGUGCGAUAUAUUUAUAUAUAUCGGUAGGGGAGCGUUCUGUUGUAGGUCGAAGUAUUAGCGUAAGCGGAUAUGGACGAAGCAGAAGUGAGAAUGUCGGCUUGAGUAACGAAAAUAUAGGUGAGAAUCCUAUACCCCGAAAACCCAAGGUUUCCUCCGGAAGGCUCGUCCGCGGAGGGUAAGUCAGGGCCUAAGGCGAGGCUGAAAAGCGUAGUCGAUGGAUAACGGGUUAAUAUUCCCGUACCAUUAUUUAUUGAUAUCGAGGGACGGAGAAGGCUAAGCUGGCCGGAUAUUGGUUACCGGUUUAAGUGUUCAAGGUUAUGAGAAACGGCGAAAACGUUUUGAGCUGAGACAUGACGACGAGAUGCUACGGCGUUGAAGCAGUGUAUGUCAUACUUCCAAGAAAAGCUCGCACUGUCAUAAAUAAAUAAUGCCUGUACCAUAACCGACACAGGUGGGUAGGUAGAGUAUACUAAGGGGCGCGAGAUAACUCUCUCUAAGGAACUCGGCAAAAUAGCUCCGUAACUUCGGGAGAAGGAGUGCCUUUUUAUUAAGGUUGCAAUAACAAGAUCCAAGCAACUGUUUAUCAAAAACACAGGUCUCCGCUAAGUCGUAAGACGAUGUAUGGGGGCUGACGCCUGCCCAGUGCCAGAAGGUUAAAGAAGUUGGUUAGCAUUUGCGAAGCUGAUAACUGAAGCCCUGGUGAACGGCGGCCGUAACUAUAACGGUCCUAAGGUAGCGAAAUUCCUUGUCGGGUAAGUUCCGACCCGCACGAAAGGCGUAAUGAUUUGGAUACUGUCUCGGAGAGGGGCUCGGUGAAAUAGACUUGUCUGUGAAGAUGCGGACUACCUGCACCAGGACAGAAAGACCCUAUGAAGCUUUACUGUAACUUGAAAUUGAAAUUGGACUUUA
rnacentral:rRNA from 1 species